CCGCUGAACUUAAGCAUAUCAUUAAGCGGAGGAAAAGAAACUAACAAGGAUUCCCCUAGUACGGGCGACGGAAGCGGGAAAAGCCCACAGUGUUAAUCUCCGUACCUCGUACGGCGAAUUGUGAUCUGAAGGCCUGUAGCCUUCCGGGACGUCGGACGCAGAAGUGCCGAGGAGUCGGCUGCCGAAGAGGGUGAGAGCCCCGUCUGCAGUGUCCGGUACCCGAGAGGGCUGCGAGUCAAAGAGUCGUGUACUUUGAUACUAGUGCACAAAGCGGGAGAUAAACUUCUUCUAAGGCUAAAUAAACGUAGGAGACCGAUAGCGAACAAGUACUGUGAAGGAAAGAUGAAAAGCACUUUGGAAAGAGCGUCAAAAGACUUGAAAUCGUUGAGGCGGACCCGGUAGAAAUGAAUUCUGGGGGCUCACACUGGGAAGCCUGCGACAGCGGGCCAUUCGUGUGAGUCAGCGCGGCAAGAUGGAGUCGUUCGAUGUCAGAGGCGGCAAGUGGCGUGGCUUGUCUACGCGCUCGUUGGCCGGGUGUCGGGCGGCUUGAGGGGCUUUGUGCGAUCUUGCCAAAAUGGUUUUUACCGACUCGUCUUGAAACACGAACCAAGGAGUCUAAGACUAACGCGAGUGUGGUGGUGGAGAAACCAACACGCGAAAUGAAAGUAAAUGAUGCCAAGUUUACGCAGCAUCGACCGACUUUUGUCUAUAGGCGGAGGUUUGAGUAAGAGCGUUAUUCUUAGGA
rnacentral:rRNA from 1 species